rnacentral:lncRNA from 1 species
GGAGAAAUGGCUGGUUCUGUUACAGCUGCUUUCCAGAGAUCUUCUCACCCCCGUUCCUCGUAGUUCAGCUUCACUCUCCUGAUGGCAAACCUUGAAAACCCAAGAAGGGUUUUCUGGUUGGGAGAGGAGCUGAUGGCAGGGAGCGAAGGCUCAGCAGCAGGGAUGUUCUGGAGCACUGCAUGGUGGAGGCUGGAAUGGGAGCAGGAUUUCUCCUUGAUAAUCUUGUGUUUCCUGAUUCCGGUAGGAAGGUGAUGCCAGCCCCCAGAAGCUCUGAUUGUAUCCUUUAUGAGAUAGCCUUAAGUCAGUUAAUAUCUUCGCAGUGGUGAUAACUAACGUGCUCUUUGGUGCGUGCGAAAUGAUCUGCAUAUUCAAUCUGAGAUUUGAGCGAGUAAUUAGAAAGUCGAUCCAAAGUGGGAACUCAUGGGUGUCUCUUGAUCAACCUCAGCAGCUCUCCACAAGCUGUCUGCCACGAGGACAGGAAGGGGGCGUCUCACUGGUGGUGGCAGACCCAUGUGCCCAUGCAGUGCCUGGUACUGCCCAUGCAUCGCCCUAAGGUGAACGUGCUUUACUGCACCAAAUGACAUCUGCUUUCCCAAGUCACAUGUAUUCUCUC